rnacentral:rRNA from 1 species
CUACGUGCCAGCAGCCGCGGUAAUACGUAGGUCCCGAGCGUUGUCCGGAUUUAUUGGGCGUAAAGCGAGCGCAGGCGGUUAGAUAAGUCUGAAGUUAAAGGCUGUGGCUUAACCAUAGUACGCUUUGGAAACUGUUUAACUUGAGUGCAAGAGGGGAGAGUGGAAUUCCAUGUGUAGCGGUGAAAUGCGUAGAUAUAUGGAGGAACACCGGUGGCGAAAGCGGCUCUCUGGCUUGUAACUGACGCUGAGGCUCGAAAGCGUGGGGAGCAAACAGGAUUAGAUACCCUGGUAGUCCACGCCGUAAACGAUGAGUGCUAGGUGUUAGACCCUUUCCGGGGUUUAGUGCCGCAGCUAACGCAUUAAGCACUCCGCCUGGGGAGUACGCCGGCAACGGUGAAACUCAAAGGAAUUGACGGGGGCCCGCACAAGCGGAGGAACAUGUGGUUUAAUUCGAUGAUACGCGAGGAACCUUACCCGGGCUUGAA